rnacentral:rRNA from 1 species
UACGUAGGGGGCAAGCGUUGUCCGGAAUCAUUGGGCGUAAAGCGCGCGUAGGCGGCCCGGUAAGUCCGCUCUGAAAGUCCAGGGCUCAACCCUGGAAAGCGGGUGGAUACUGCCGGGCUAGAAUCCGGAAGAGGCGAGUGGAAUUCCUGGUGUAGCGGUGGAAUGCGCAGAUAUCAGGAGGAACACCAAUAGCGAAGGCAGCUCGCUGGGACGGUAUUGACGCUGAGGCGCGAAAGCUAGGGUAGCAAACGGG